rnacentral:misc_RNA from 1 species
GAUGAAGAACGUAGCGAAAUGCGAUAAGUAAUGUGAAUUGCAGAAUUCAGUGAAUCAUCGAAUCUUUGAACGCACAUUGCGCCCAUUAGUAUUCUAGUGGGCAUGCCUGUUCGAGCGUCAUUAAUUCCACUUAAGCCCUGCUUAGUGUUGGGAAUCUACUCUAGUGGUGCUACCCUGGAGCUACCCCUGAAAGGGGGCUGGCCCGGUAGCUACCCUGUAGUUCCUCAAAGAUAGUGCGCGGAGUUGCGUGGUCCUCUGAGCUUAGUAACUAUACACCUAGCUUUUUAGUGUCCCGCGGCGCCUGCCGUUUAAACCCCAUCUUUUAAUGGUUGACCUCGGAUCAGGUAGGAAUACCCGCUGAACUUAAGCAUAUCAAUAAGCGGAGGA